GCUCAAAGGGUCACUAUGAUAAAGUGAACAUAGAGGUACACCAGCCCUCUCAUUUCCUAACUCACGUAAAAU
rnacentral:tRNA from 1 species